GUUCCCUGAGCUGUGGGAUCAUGGAUGGUGUGGAGGAAAUGGAGAAGAAGAUGAGUUAUCAGAGAGAAACUAGACAAAGGAGGAAAAAGCCUCAUCCAAUCACCUGUUGACCUUACAUGUGGCCACCAGGGAGUGAAGGGCAGUGGUGGGGCUGCUGGAACCUUUUGGAGGGGUUGUGUCAAACCUGAGGUUUCAGCUCAGCUGCGUGACAUUGGGAGAUUGCAGGACUAGUGGAGACUGAGAGGAAUGCCAAGUAUUUCAUGGGUUCCUGCUCUCCUCUGCCUUGGUUGCUUUAUCUCAGUCCCGUGCUGUGUCUCACCAGCCUGAAGUGAGAAGCAAAACCUCAGCCAGUGAGUGAUCACAGUGCCUGGGUGAAGAGGGAAGGUUAUGCUACUCUUGCCCCAAAGAAGCAGACAAACCUGCACUUGCACAUCCAUGCUGCUCCCUCUUGAUGUAAUAGGAUGUAAGAGGAGGGAUGGAAAAGAGACCAGAUGUACCAGGAGAGUGCUGACACAUCUGCUCAGCCACCACAGCAUCUCUUUUCCUCCUCAGAUGAGAAGCUUAAAUACUGAGGAUCUCUCCCGUCCUUUGUCACACAGACACAUCAGGACCUUCCUUUCCAGGAGUGCAUGCCCAGCCCAGUUGUGUGCUCGAGGAGGUUCCAGCAGCUGCUGUGAGCCUGGAUGCUGGCUGGAGCUCCCAGCUCCCAGUUAUCUGCUGAGACAGAUUGGCUCGGUCAUCUGCAGUCUUCUCUCCAGGCACGUGUCCUGCAGGACAUCGGUGCCAAAUCUUCCCAAACACCCUCUGGGAACCAGGCUACAGUGGCCAGCUACAAACCUUCAAAAGAAUUAAAAACUGAGAAGAAAUAGGUAUUCAAAAUAGGGAGUAGUGACAACUUAAACUGAAAAUUAUGCUUUAAUUACAGCCAGUAAUUGAAACAAACAACAGGAGUUUGUAUCCAGAUCUCUGUUACUGCCCUGCAUUUUGCCUAGACUGUGUGCAAUUUCUUCUGAGUGACCUUACCUGAGCACUCCCUACACUUCUGAAUUAAUCUUUAUUUACUUUGCUGCAAAGCUUUGUCCCUGCAUGUCUUUUUUUUACAAUUUUUUUCUGUUCUGAAGCACUUGUCAGAAAAGCCUGCUAAGCCAAGCACCGAGCAUAGGGUUUAGUGCUGCUCCAGCCACUGAAAACAUCACGCUGCUGGGAGAGGAGAGAAAGAAUAAAGCCACUCUGCCUUUCUUUCUGCCCCUCUAAUCUAGGAUUUCUCCUAGAGGCAGAGUGCCCUCUGAGAUAAUUUAGCCUUGGAAACUGGCUGUCUGGAGGAGCAAGGUGCUCACUUCCACGUCCUUCACCAGGUGAUGUGCUGGGGUACGUGAUACUGCCCUGAAACCUGCAGGGAGAAGAGCCCCUGUGCAGAAGGGCAUACACACCUUUUAUAACUGUGAGAAGGUCCUUAAUCUGCCUUUUGUAUUUUCAUUGUCAUCUUCACAUUCUUGCCAGGCAAGAUGACCUUUCAUUAAAGGUGCCCUGCACUCCCUUCAGACAUAUUUGAGUUGUACAUCCCUCUAAGCUCAGCUUGCACUUGUGUGGCCUUUGACAGGGAUAGGUGGGAAGCUGCAAAGGAAUGGAAAAAGUAGUUUUUAACACCUGAAAACUACCAUGGACUAGAAAGAUGGCAAUGCUGAACAAAGAAACCAGUGCAAGGAAAAGGAACAGGAGCACAGUUAUCGUUUGGUGGUGGGCCUUAGGCCUUUUGUGCUGGUGAAGUUUCUUCUGCCCUAAUUCUUCUCCAGGGAAAUGGCUUCUUAUUCAAAGACAUCCCAUCCUUCCUUUGUAUUUGCUGUGAAGUUCAACACUCAGGACCCAAAUCUCUGUCCUUCAUGGUUCUGUGUCUCCAAUCUGGGGGUGGUGACUCCCAGCUCAAGCCUGGGCAGUGACUGUUCCAGGAGGUUCUCUGGAAUAUCCUCUUCAUGCCCCACAGAUGGUUUCCCAAGGCACACAGAACCUAAACCCACAACAUGAGGACAAACCCUACACCCAUUCAGAAACAAACCUGACAACAUUAGGAGCAGUGAGGGGGCAUAAAAGUAAGGCUUUCAUUUUAAAAUUUCUCUUCCCUGCCCUCAUAAAUCUAACAUUGCUUGUUCUUUGCUCUUCCUUCCUUGAAAUUGAGUCACACAAACACUGCUGUUAUGGUGCUGUAUUUAUUUAGUGUUUAGGUCUAGUGGGCCCAGCCAAGAUGAGGACCCUGUUCAAAUCUAUCAUGAUCUGCAGGUAAAAGCAGAGACUGCAGCACUACCAAACGUGGCAGGACUGUUGCAUCAGUUUGACAGGUGCUGAGGAACACUUGCACAACUUUGGAUGAAGCUGCUGGGUGACAGGGCACUGAAACACAGAAGCAGAGGGAGGACUGGAGAUAUUUUUUUCCUUUCCCUUUGCAAAACACUUUUUUAUACUUUAGAAGGAAAUUUCCACCAAGUAAGCUUGGCCACAGCUAGAUUAAAUCUGGUAAAAAGUGGCUCAGGCUCUGGUUAGAGAAUGGUGACUCCACCAAUCUCUCUGAUCAUGUCACUUUCUGGGGUCAUGGAGGAUGGGGCACUGUACCAGAACAUUCAGCUACACUGGUAAAAUUCAUAUUUCAUCAUUCUGGAGCACAUUACUAAUUGAAAUCACUUCUGGACUACAAAUGCCUUUCUGUUUUGGCCUGCCAAGUUUAGCUCUUCUCUGGAGCAGAAGUCCAGCUGAGUCCAAAAUCAAAGCCUAGCUCUUUCCAGGGUCCCUACUUCACCACUGCUGUCAACAGGGAAUUGCUUGUGCUAUGUGAAAUAUCAGUAAACAAUAAGAACUUUAAACUUUGGACCCCAGUUUUGUGGUUCAGGGGGUUUUCUCAGCUGGUCCUUCUCUGGUGUCUGUUACUCCUGUGACUGCAUUUACAGCAGGAAGCAACUGCUGGAUCUGCCACUCUGACUAGGGGAUUUUGGAGCAAAAUUCUUUCACCUGUCACACACCAUAACAAUGUUCCAAGCUGCAGUCCUAUAGCCUCAUGCUGUGACCUUGUUGAAGCUUCUAAUGUGAAGCCAGGUCAGAUUUUGGACAGCAAUCUGCAAGGCAGAGCCAGAAUGCUGCAUGAGGCACCAUUUGGGAAUCAGCAGGAGGUGUGAUUCCUCAAGUCAGUCUUGAACUGGUUCCACAGCAUGGUGGAGUAUUGCUUUCCUGGCAGGAAAGACAGGCAACCUCAAUCCCAGCCAUCUGAGGAUAUUGAAAAGCUCUUUCUCCAGGAACAGUCAUUAUCUCUAAUACCCUGCUUAAGUUUAAACUUGGGUAAUUCCUUUCAUCUGACCUAAAAAAAAAGAUUCUCAGGUGGGUUUUUCCUAGGUACACUAUUUUUUCAUGCUUUCUGUAGUAAACAGCUUUGUAGGAGUGCUGCACACUGUUAAACAGAUGCUCUGUUGCACCCUGAAAGACAGAUGCAAUUUGGAGGUGGGUCAUUAUCAGUUGAGAAGCUCUGGGGCUCAGCUGCUGCAGGCAGGAGGUGAUCAUUAAUAGCAGGGCUGUGCAGCAGCAUUGAUGAGGAUGCAUGGUAUUUGUGAGAUAUUUGAAUAAUUAGUGCUGGGAUGCACACACCUCUCCUGGAGAAAACACCAGGCUGCUUUACCAAUGUCUGUCCAUGUAAAUGCUGUGACAGACAGCCAGAAUUCCUGGUGUAACUCAUGCUAGCUUUAGUACCAGUGAGUCCUGGUGGUGCAGGGUAUCUGAAAGAAGCCUUGCUUUUCCCUGCAGCCUCCUGUUUGAUUAGGGGCCCUACAUUAGGUCAGAGAUCUCCUGUUGUUUCCCAUUUCUGGAGUAUCUGAAGACUUGUCUCCUUGUGUUAAUACUUCUUUUUUCUUCAGGUUCUUUCUUAGCCCUUUAAUCUUCACUGUAUGUUUUUCCUGACAGAAAUUUCUUACUACUAUUUUUGGUUUUAGUGGACUUGAGAGUUUAAUGGAUGCAUUUAGAACAUCUGAAUAAAUCAUUAUGGAAAGAGUUUUAAGAAAGGAGAUAGUUGCUUCUUCUUGUUUCUGUAAUGGAAAAAAAGCAAACCCAACAAAAUUUUUCAAAAGCUAUCUUCAAUCCUUGCCAGACUUUGAAGGGGAAUAUGAUGUGGUGCCUGAGAAACAACUGAUUUAAAUUCAAAUUUAACUUCGAACCUAAUGAAAACUCAGCUAUGCAGCCAAAAUUCUGUGUGGCCUCAUACAGGACCCACUUUCUGAGCAUCCCUUGGAAGUAAGAUCAGAGGGUCUGACCGAUGGUGCUUUGUUUUUUAUGGUGUUCAUCUGAUUUAACAUGGGAACAACUGAAUCUCUGUCUUUUGUAAUGAACCUGUCCUUGACAGAACAUCCCUUCCAAAGGGCAGAAACACAGAAGCAUUGCCAACCACUGAAAAUUUCUCUACUGCAUCCCCCUUCUGCAGUUUCUUGUCCUGCCUGCCAGUAACACCAACACAAGUUAAGCCUUCCCCAAUGCCUCUCAAAUCAGUUUCACUGCCCUUGGCUGUACCACAGUCCUU